rnacentral:rRNA from 1 species
CGAUUCUGGCUCAGGAUGAACGCUAGCUACAGGCUUAACACAUGCAAGUCGAGGGGCAGCAUGAGAUUAGCUUGCUAAUCUUGAUGGCGACCGGCGCACGGGUGAGUAACGCGUAUCCAACCUUCCCCCUACUCAGGCAUAGCCCGGUGAAAACCGGAUUAACUCCUGAUAGUUUCACUAGAUGGCAUCUGACGGUGAAUAAAGCUCAGCGGUAAGGGAUGGGGAUGCGUCUGAUUAGCUUGUUGGCGGGGUAACGGCCCACCAAGGCGACGAUCAGUAGGGGUUCUGAGAGGAAGGUCCCCCACAUUGGAACUGAGACACGGUCCAAACUCCUACGGGAGGCAGCAGUGAGGAAUAUUGGUCAAUGGGCGCGAGCCUGAACCAGCCAAGUAGCGUGCAGGAAGACGGCCCUAUGGGUUGUAAACUGCUUUUGUGCGGGAAUAAAGUCAGGGACGUGUCCCUGUUUGCAUGUACCGCAAGAAUAAGGACCGGCUAAUUCCGUGCCAGCCGCCGC